UGGGAAAUAAGUUAGACCCAUUUGAUACAAAAAGCUAUCAAUGGCUGUUCUCUUUGCAUAAACCGUCAAGUGCUAGAGACUUAGAAAGAUACAAGAGAACAUGGAGAACUGUUAACUCAGCAACAUAAAAAGCCUAGAGAAAUAGACUCAAAGGCAAGGAAAGGGAAGUGAAGAGAAGAGAAGAUGGUUGAGUGCUCUGAAUCAUUCAAGGGUGUUAAGAGGUAUCAAAGGAAUAAUAGCCACUUUGAGAAUGGGAAAAUGAACUUCUUACCGCCAGUAAUGGUAGAUAUUGGUUAUGGUUGCGUCUUCUACAAGCAUUUUCAAGUGGAUGGGGGGGUGGAAUUGACGGGACCCUGACCUAUCCUCGCAUAUCAAGAGACUCGGGAAGGUGAAGAGGGGAGGGGGGUUUCCUAGGGUUUCAGGUUCCUUGUUUUGAUCCAUCGUUUGCUAUUUUGGGCCCUUAAUUUUGAAGCUUUUCUAUGAGACGAAGUCUGGCAAAUUUAUGCCCUCUUUUGGUUGUUUUUCAAGUUUUAUCUAGUCCAAUUUAUCUAAGAGGCAAAAAGACUUAACUACAUGUGCAAAGUAGUACUUGCGUGUUUCUCUAGUGCUCAUUUUCAUCAACUUACCCCAGUCCCCUCUUCUCGUUUCCAUUUCAUCGUUCAGUGUUUUCGUUGAUUAUUGAAUAACUUACCCUGUAGUACUCCUAUUUGCAUGUCUAUACAUCUCUUAUCUCUUGUAUAUGACAAAGGUUUAAUUUGCUAUCUAA